UGCCUUAGUAACUGCGAGUGAAGCGGCAAAAGCUCAAAUUUGAAAUCUGGCGUCUUYGGCGUCCGAGUUGUAAUUUGGAGGGAUAUCUUCGGAGUUGGCGCCGUCCUAAGUUCCUUGGAACAGGACGUCAUAGAGGGUGAGAAUCCCGUGCCUGGAUGGCUGUCCAUCUCCAUGUGAAGUGUCUCCGACGAGUCGAGUUGUUUGGGAAUGCAGCUCAAAAUGGGUGGUAAAUUUCAUCUAAAGCUAAAUAUUGGCGAGAGACCGAUAGCGCACAAGUAGAGUGAUCGAAAGAUGAAAAGCACUUUGAAAAGAGAGUUAAAAAGUACGUGAAAUUGUUGAAAGGGAAGCGCUUGCGACCAGACUCGAUCUUAGGGGAUCAGCCGGGCUUCUGUCUGGUGCCCUCCCCUUUGAUUGGGCCAGCAUCGGUUCUGAGGGCGGGAUAAAAGGUUUGGGAAUGUGGCUCCCUUCGGGGAGUGUUAUAGCCCAGAUCACAAUGCCGCCACUUGGGACCGAGGACCGCGCUUCGGCUAGGAUGCUGGCAUAAUGGUCUUAAGCGACCCGUCUUGAAACACGGACCAAGGAGUCUAACAUCUAUGCGAGUGUUCGGGUGGAAAACCCUUGCGCGUAAUGAAAGUGAACGGAGGUGUGAACCCAGCAAUGGGCGCAACAUCGACCGGUCCUGAUGUCUUCGGAAGGAUCUGAGUAAGAGCAUAGCUGUUGGGACCCGAAAGAUGGUGAACUAUGCCUGAAUAGGGUGAAGCCAGAGGAAACUCUGGUGGAGGCUCGCAGCGGUUCUGACGUGCAAAUCGAUCGUCAAAUUUGG
rnacentral:rRNA from 1 species